AUUGAACGCUGGCGGCAUGCCUUACACAUGCAAGUCGAACGGCAGCACGGGUGCUUGCACCUGGUGGCGAGUGGCGAACGGGUGAGUAAUAUAUCGGAACGUACCUUAUUGUGGGGGAUAACGCAGCGAAAGCUGUGCUAAUACCGCAUAAUCCCUAAGGGGGAAAGCGGGGGACCGUAAGGCCUCGCGCAAUUAGAGCGGCCGAUACCUGAUUAGCUAGUUGGUGAGGAAAAGGCUCACCAAGGCAACGAUCAGUAGCUGGCCUGAGAGGACGAUGAGCCACACUGGGACUGAGACACGGCCCAGACUCCUACGGGAGGCAGCAGUGGGGAAUUUUGGACAAUGGGGGCAACCCUGAUCCAGCAAUGCCGCGUGAGUGAAGAAGGCCUUCGGGUUGUAAAGCUCUUUUGUCAGGGAAGAAACAGCAGCUCUAACACAGUAUGCGAAUGACGGUACCUGAAGAAUAAGCACCGGCUAACUACGUGCCAGCCGCCGCCGUAA
rnacentral:rRNA from 1 species